AAUAUCCUGAGAAAGUUUUGUCUUCCAGAUUCUGGAUAUUUGUAUUAUUAGUACUUAUAUCUGCUUAUAGUCUUUUACCUACUUACUAAAUAAAUAAAUAAAUAAAUAAAUAAUUUAAAGACAGCAUCUCGCUCUGUCACCAGACUGGAUGGAGUGCAGUGGCACAAUCAUGGCUCAUUGUAGCUUUCACCUCCUUGGCUCAAGUGAUCCUCCUGCCUUAGCCCCCCAAGUAGCUGAGAUUACAGGUCUGUGCUACCAUGCCUGUCUAAUUUUUAAUUUUUUUGUGGAGAUGAGGUCUCACUGUGUUGCCCAGACUGGUCUUGAACUCCUGGGCUGAAGCAAUCGUCCUGACUCAGCCUUCUAAAAUGCUGAGAUCACAGGAAUGAGCCACCACAGUUGAUCUAGUCUUUCCUUUUUCAUUUGUUUGUUUGUUUGAGACAGGGUCUUGCUCUCUUGCCCAGAUGGGAGUGCAGUGGCAUAGUCAUAGCUCACUGCAGCUUCAACCACCUGGGCUCAAGUGAUACUCCCACCUCAGCCUCCCAGGUAGCUGGAACUACAGGCAUGUGCCACCAUGCCUGGCUAAUUUUUUAUAUUUUUAGUAUAGAUGGGGUUUCGCCAUGUUGCCCAUGCUGGUCUUUAACUCCUAGGCUCAAGUGAUCCACUUGUCUUGGCCUCCCAAUGUGCUGGGAUUACAGAUGUGAGCCUCUGCACCCAGCCAUUCUGGAUAUUUCAUAGAUAUGGAAUCAUACAAUGUGACCUUUUAUGUCUGGCUUCUUUCACUUAGCAUAAUGUCUUAGAGGUUCCUAUACCAGCCGGGCGCGGUGGCUCACGCCUGUAAUCCCAGCACUUUGGGAGGCCAAGGCGGGUGGAUCAUGAGGUCAAGAGAUCGAGACCAUCCUGGUCAACAUGGUGAAACCCUGUCUCUACUAAAAAUACGAAAAAUUAGCUGGGCAUGGUGGUGUGUGCCUGUAAUCCCAGCUACUCAGGAGGUUGAGGCAGGAGAAUUGCCUGAACCCAGGAGGUGGAGGUUGCCAUGACCUGAGAUCGUGCCGUAGUACUCCAGCCUGGGUAACAAGAGCGAAACUCCGUCUCAAAAAAAAAAAGAGGUUUCUAUACCUUGUAGCAUGUAUUGGCACUUUGUUCUUUUUAUGGUUGAAUGAUAAAUCACAGUUGGUUUAUUUAUUCAUUUACUGAUAGACAUUUGGGCUGUUCUCCCGUUUUGCCUCUUGUGAAUAGUGCUGCUAUGAACAUGGGCGAACUAUAUUCUUGUUUGGAUCUCUGCUUUCAUUUCUUUGGAAUAUGUACCCAGGAGUGGAAUUGAAGGGUCAUAUGGUAAUUCUGUGUUUAAGUUUUUGAGAACCUCAAACUGUUUUCCAUAGUGACUGAACCAUUUUAUAUUCUGCCUAUUGUCUUUUAAUUAUACUUAGUACCUUUAUCAAUUUUCAAGGGUGCUGACAGGAAACGAAGUUCAAAAUCCUUUUGAGACAUGGCGCAGAGAUCUGUCUAUAUACAGCAACUUACACAGUUAUUUGGAAAAAUCAUUCCGUAUUCCACACUGUUCUUGGUUUAAGCAUAUAGGAACUUUCCAAGGAUCUCAGCCAUUUAUAAGGAAGCGCUAAGCAUUUGUGUUGUAUGACUACAUCAGCUAGGCAAUUGGCAUGCUCCACAGUAAGAAACACUUUCCAUCAUGGAACAGCGCAUAUGUAUAUAACCUAUACAUAUAUAUAAAACAGGGAAAAAAGUUUCCAGUACAGUUUUUACCAUGUACAGUGUGGACCAGUAUUUUCCAUUUAUUCUAUUCUACUGUUUCUAUUGCUUUUUCAAGGGUUGCUUAGACUAACUAAAUUGAUUUCAUGACUCACCAAGGUUUAUGACCUUUAGUUUAAAAAGCACUGAGCUAAGUCUUUCUCUAUAGAUCCAAGGUAAGACCUGUGUGUUGCAACAUGACUUCUAUUUUGUAACCCACUUAAAUAAUAGUUUCCAGAAUCUCAAUGAAGAAUUCUUCAUUGGCCGGAUGUGGUGGCUCACGCCUAUAAUCCCAACACUUUGGGAGGCCGAGGCGGGUGGAUCACGAGGUCAAGAGAUUGAGACCAUCCUGGUCAACAAGAUGAAACCCCGUCUCUACUAAAAAUACAAAAAUUAGCUGGGCAUGGUGGUGCGUGCCUGUAGUCCCAGCUACUUGGGAGGCUGAGGCAGGAGAAUUGCUUGAACCCAGGAGGCGGAGGUUGUGGUGAGCCGAGAUCGUGCCAUUGCACUCCAGUCUGGGUAACAACAGCGAAACUCCGUCUCAAAAAAAAAAAAAAAAAAAAAAAGAAUUAUUAUAUAAUUUCCCUUAUAUAAUAAUUGUACUUAUCAUCUGAUUCCUCUUGCCCUGUUUCAUACAUAGUUCUUUUUGUUUUUGACAUGCUCAAUACAGGUGUGUUUUGUUGUUAUUGUUUUGGGGGUUUUUUUUGUUGUUGUUUUUUGAGAUGGAGUCUUGCUCUGUCUUCAGGCUGGAGUGCAAUGGCUCGAUCUCAGUUCACUGCAGUCUCCACCUCUCGGGUUCAAGCGAUUCUCCUGCCUCAGCCUCCCAAGUAGCUGGGAUUACAGCGCCUGCCAUCAUGCCCGGCUAAUUUUUUGUAUUUUUAGUAGAGAUGGAGUUUUGCCAUGUUGGCCAGGCUGGUCUCGAACUCCUGACCUCAGAUGAUCCACCCGCCUUGGCCUCCCAAAGUGCUGGGAUUAUAGGUGUGAGCUGCUGUACCUGAUCCAGAUGUGGAUUUUUUUUGUAGUUUUCUUUUCUUUCUUUUUUUCUUUUUUCUUUUUCUUUGAGUUCCAGGACACAUGUGCAGAAUAUACAGGUUUGUUACAUAGAUAUACAUGUGCCAUUGUGGUUUGCCGCACCUAUCAACCCAUCAUCUAGGUUUUAGGCCCUGCAUGCAUUAGGUAUUUGUCCUAAAGCUCUCUCUCCCCUUGCCCUUCAUGCCCUGACAUACCCCUGUGUGUCGUUGUUCCCUCCAGGGAGGCAGAGGUUGCAGUGAGCCGAGAUCAUGCCACUGCACUCCAGACUGAUGACAAAGUGAGACUCUGUCUCAAAAAAAAAAAAAAAAUCCUUGCUAUUUCUCCAUAGCCUCACCAGAAUCUAUUGUUUCCUUUUUAAUAAUCAUGAUUCUGGCUGGGGGCAGUGGCUCAUGCCUGUAAUCUUAGCACAUUGGGAAGCCGAGGCAGGUGGAUCACCUGAGGUUGGAAGUUCGAGAUCAGCCUGACCAACAUGGAGAAACCCUGUCUCUACUAAAAAUACAAAAUUAGCCGGGUGUUGUGGUUCAUGGCUGUAAUCACAGCUACUCAGGAGGCUGAGGCAGGAGAAUCACUUGAACCCGGAGGUAGAGCUUGUGGUGAGCCGAGAUCACGCCAUUGCACUCCAGCCUGGGCAACCAGAGCAAAACUCCAUCUAAAAAAAAAAAAAUGCCAUUCUGACUGGCAUGAGAUGAUAUCUCAUUGUAGUUUUGAUUUUUUUUUCUCUACAAUGAAAGCUAAUACAGUGGCUAAACCAUGGACUUCAGAAUUUUUUUAAAAAAAUCCAAAUCUAAACAGCCAUGUGAAUCUCAGAAAGAUUUUUUUUUCUUUUCUUAAUUUUAUUUUAGUAGUUUCUGGAGAACAGGUGGUUUUUUGUUACAUGGAUAUGUUCUUUAGUGGUGAUUUCUGAGAUUUUGGUGCACCUGUCACCUGAGCAGUGUACACUGUACCUAAUAUGGAGUCUUGUAUACCUCACACCCCUCCCACCCUUCUCCCUGAGUCCCCAAAGUCAAUUCUGUCAUUCUUAUGCCUUUGCAUUCUCAUAGCUUAGCUCCCACUUAUAAGGGAGAACACAUGAUAUUUGGUUUUCCAUUCCUGAGUUACUUCACUUAGAAUAAUGGUCUCCAGUUCUAUCCAAGUUGCUGCAAAGGCUUUUAUUUUAUUCCAUUUUAUGGCUGGGUAGUAUUCCAUAGUGUGUAUAUACUACAUUUCCUUUAUCCACUUGUUGGUUGAUGGGCAUUUAGAUUGGUUCCAUAUUUUUGCAAUUACAAAUUGUGCUGCUGCAAACAUGCAUGUGCAUGUGUGGUGUUUGUUUUUUGUUUUCCAUAUAAUGACUUCUUUUCUUUUGGGAGAUACCAGUAGUUGGAUUGCUGGAUCAAAUGGUAGUUCUGCUUUUAGUUCUUUAAGGAAUCUCCAUACUGUUUUCCAUAGUGAUUGUACUAGUUUACAUUCCCACCAGCAGUGUAAAAGUGUUUCCUUUUCACCACAUACAUGCCAACAUUUAUUAUUUUCUAUUUUUUUAUGGCCAUUGUUGCAGGAGUAAGGUGGUAUCUCAUUGUGGUUUUCAUUUGCAUUUCCCUGAUAACUAGUGAUGCUGAAUAUUUUUUUCAUGUUUGUUGACUGUACAUCUUCUUUUGAGAAUUGUCUAUUCAUGUCCUUUGCCCACUUUUUGAUGGGAUUAUAUGCUUUAUUUCUUGCUGAUUUGUUUGAGUUCCUUGUAGAUUCUGGGUAUUAGUCCUUUGUCAGAUACAUAGUUUACAAAUAUUUUCUCCCACUCUGUGGGUUGUUUGUUUAUUCUGCUAAUUAUUUCUUUUGCUUUGCAGAAGGCUUUUAGUUUACCUAGGUCCCAUUUAUUUAUUUUUGUUUUUGUUGCACUUGCUUUUGGGGUCUUAGUCAUGAAUUUGUUGCCUAAGCCAACGUCUAGAAGAGUUUUUACAAUGUUAUCUUCUAGGAUUUUUAUGGUUUCAAGUCUUAGAUUUAAAUCUUUGGAAACAAUAGAGGCCUCACAUGUAGAGCCAGCGCUUGCAGCCUCCCUGCCCCUCCUGCAAUGCUUGACCCCAGGAUUCCCCCCACUCGCUUUCUCGCCCUGGCCGACAAGGAACCAGCCUUCGAUGACGCAGUGAAAGAACGAGUGAUUAACGAGGAGUACAAAAUAUGAAAAAAGAACACUCCUUUUCUUUAUGAUUUGGUGAUGAACCAUGCUAUGGAGUGGCCCAGCCUAACUGCCCAGUGGCUUCCAGAUGUAACCAGACCAGAAGGGAAAGAUUUCAGCAUUCAUCGACUUGUGCUGGGGACACACACAUUGGAUGAACAAAACCAUCUUGUGAUAGCCAGUGUGCAGCUCCCUAAUGAUGAUGCUCAGUUUGAUGCAUCACACUAUAACAGUGAGAAAGGAGAAUUUGGAGGUUUUGGUUCAGUUCGAGGAAAAAUUGAAACAGAAAUCAAGAUCAUCCAUGAAGGAGAAGUAAACAGGACUCAUUAUAUGCCCCAGAACCCUUGUAUCAUUGCAACAAAGACUCCUUCCAGUAAUGUUCUUGUCUUUGACUAUAAAAAACAUCCUUCUAAACCCGAUCCUUCUGGAGAAUGCAACCCAGAUUUGCGUCUCCAUGGACAUCAGAAGGAAGGCUAUGGGCUUUCUUGGAACCCAAAUCUCAGUGGGCACUUGCUUAGUGCUUCAGAUGACAACACCAUCUGCCUGUGGGACAUCAGUGCCAUUCCAAAGGAGGGAAAAGUGGUGGAUGCGAAAACCAUCUUUACAGGGCAUACAGCAGUAGUAGAAGAUGUUUCCUGGCAUCUGCUCCAUGAGUCUCUGUUUGGGUCAGUAGCUGAUGAUCAGAAACUUAUGAUUUGGGAUACUCGUUCAAACAAUACUUCCAAACCAAGCCACUCAGUUGACGCUUACACUGCUGAAGUGAACUGUCUCUCUUUCAAUCCUUAUCAUGAGUUCAUUCUUGCCACAGGAUCAGCUGACAAGACUGUUGCUUUGUGGGAUCUGAGAAAUCUGAAACUUAAGUUACGUUCCUUUGAAUCACAUAAGGAUGAAAUAUUCCAGGUUCAGUAGUCACCUCACAAUGAGACCAUUUUGGCUUCCAGUGGUACUGAUCGCAGACUGAAUGUCUGCGAUUUAAGUAAAAUUGGAGAAGAACGAUCCCCAGAAGAUGUAGAAGAUGCGCCACCAAAGUUGUUGUUUGUUCAUGGUGGUCAUACUGCCAAGAUAUCUGAUUUCUCCUGGAAUCCCAAUGAGUCUUGAGUGAUUUGUUCUGUAUCAGAAGAUAAUAUCAUGCAAGUGUGGCAAAUGGCAGAGAACAUUUAUAAUGAUGAAGACCCUGAAGGAAGCAUGGAUCCGGAAGGACAAGGGUCCUAGAUAUAUAUGUCUUUACUUCUUGUGAUUUUAGAUUCCCCUUUUUUCUUCUCAACCCUGAGAGUGAUUUAACUUUGGUUUUGAGACACAGACUUUGUUCAGCUAUCCCUCUAUAUAAUAGGUACCACCAGUAAUGCUAUUAGCCCAAACA